UUUCUGCUGAUUACUUAAUCCUACAUGUACUUCAGGAUGAAGACAACUCAAAUGUUCAAGGACAUGAAACUGGUGAUGACCAAUCUAGUCCUGUGGAGGAACUUCACCAGGAUGAAUUAGAGAUUGAAAAUCCUGCAGAGGUUGUAUCAGUUCAACAAGAACAAGCCAAACAACAGGCAGAAGUGGAGUGGAAUCAAGGAGAUGUGGAGUCAAAGGAGCAGUAUGUUCCUCGAAGAAAUUAUCAGAAUACAAGAGGUGGCCGUGGUGGUGGGGGGAGUGGCCGCAGGGGGGGUUAUCCCAACGGUCGUGGAGGUCGAAGUGGUGGCAGGGUAGGUGGAUCCUAUCAGAAUGGCCGCAGCCAAUAUUAUGACCAGCCUGGAAAUUAUUAUUCGAGGGGCUACCAUAACAAUAGGGGAAGAGGUGGCAGGGGUGGUGGAAACUCCUACAAUAACCAUGUUUUGGGAAUUCAAGGUGGUCAUGCUCCCACUGAAGUUAGGUUGGGUUCGUGAACCUUUUCUUUUUUCCAUUUUUUUGUAAGUGGUUGGGUUCUUGAACUUGUUACUCUUUUAGGUGUCUAUAGGAUGUUUGGUUGCUAGCUUUGUAGGUGGGUGGUGAAAAUGUCUUUUUUUUUUUUUUAACCUUUUAUGGAACAUGAUUUGGAUGUGGGUUGCUGUUGAUGAAUGAGCCAUCCUGACCCCCUUUUUUUGUAGUUCAAUCGAUGCAGAAUUCCCAUUUAGUCCGGAAAAGAAGUUAUCAAUACCUUAUUAAAACUUUUUUGAUUUUGCUUUACUGGAAUUUCUGCCAGCUUAUGAGAUUCUACAUACAUUAGCCAAUGUGUUCAUAAGCAUAUCGAGAUGCUCGCUAAAUAUUGUAUUCUAGCUUCUGAGCCUUUAAAUGAAGAAUUUGAAAGUGA